rnacentral:rRNA from 1 species
ACAUGCCCACAAUGUAGUGUUAAUGCACCAUCUCUCAUUAGAACUCCACAGUUAAGCGUUCUCAAGCUAGAGUAGUACUGGGAUGGGUGACCGCCCAGGAAGUCCUAGUGUUUUACAUGCC